GGGAAAUUAUUAGAACGGAUCCCAGGCUGACUAAAAUCAUUAAUUUGUUUUUGCGAAAUUGGGACCGUGCGAAGGUAGCGUAAUCACUCGUCCUUUAAAUGGGGUCAAGUAUGAAAGGCUAGACGAGGGUUUAACUGUCUCCCUUUUCCAGUCAGUGAAAUUGAUCUAUCCGUGCAGAAGCGGGUAUAAAACUACAAGACGAGAAGACCCUUUGGAGCUUUAGGUACAGGACUUAACCACGUCAAGCAAGUAUAUAAAAACUUAAACCCCGUGGCACAUAAGACCCUACCUUGGGUUGGGGCGACCAUGGAGAAAAAAUAAUCCUCCGAGUGGACUGGGGACACCCCUAGAACCAAGAGACACACCUCUAAGUCACAGAACUUCUGACCAAAAAUGAUCCGGACAUAAGACCGAUCAACGAACCAAGUUUACCCUAGGGAUAACAGCGCAAUCCCCCUCCCAGAGCCCAUAUCGACGAGGGGGUUUACGACCCUCGAUGUUGGAUCAGGACAUCCCUAUGGUGCAGCCGCUAUUAAGGGUUCGUUUUGUUCAACGAUUAAAGUCCUACGUGAUCUGAGUUCAAACCGGAUGUUGUCUUGUUUACAAAAACUAAUCGUGAUCUGAUUUUCAACGGGGUGCGAUAUAUAUCAAAAACUA
rnacentral:rRNA from 1 species